rnacentral:lncRNA from 1 species
AAAUUACAAAUAGGUAUUUGUAAAGAGUCUUGAUUGGAUGAAAAUUGGUCCAAAGAUGUUAGAGAAUUGUUGGAAAGAUCCAAAUAUUGCAAACUUUUCUUCCACACCCAAUUUGGUACGGCCCCGCUUAUUUGGUUGUUUGAAAGGUCAAGUUCUUCUAAGCUCUCUUGACUCUUUAGAAAUGCUGGAAACGUACUUAUAUUACAGGAUCUCAAACGCAACGAAAUCAGCAUUGGAAAGGAGGAAUUUGCAUCAUCAAAAGGAAACUGAUUCGGAAUGUCAAUCGCAUUGGAAGAAAGGUCUAAUAUUUCAAGUGUGCUCUUCCACAACCAAUUUGGUACUGCCCCGCUUAUUUGGUUAUUUGAAAGGUCAAGUUCUUCUAAGCUCUCUUGACUCUUUAGAAAUGCUGGAAACGUACUUAUAUUACAAGAUGCCAACAACAAAAAUCUCAGCAUUGGAAAGGAGGAAUUUGCAUCAUCAAAAGGAAACUGAUUCGGAAUGUCAAUCGCAUUGGAAGAAAGGUCUACCGAUAUAAGUGUGCUCUUCCACAACCAAUUUGGUACUGCCCCGCUUAUUUGGUUAUUUGAAAGGUAAAGAUAUUCUAAGCUCUCUUGACUCUUUAGAAAUGCUGGAAACGUACUUAUAUUACAAGAUUCCAAAAACAACGAUCUCAGCAUUGGAAAGGAGGAAUUUGCAUCAUCAAAAGGAAACUGAUUCGGAAUGUCAAUCGCAUUGGAAGAAAGGUCUAAUAUUUCAAGUGUGCUCUUCCACAACCAAUUUA